rnacentral:ncRNA from 1 species
AUGAGCCGUGUGAUGGGAAACCUUCCCGCACGGUUCGGAGAGCACUGAAUUAGAAUGAGAGGUUCACCACCACAUCAUUGCAUGCAAGGGGAGCGAGCUUGUUGUUUUGUUUACACGUGGAAUGUUGUCUAUGUCACACCCCUAUUUUCCACGUGUCACCGGUGGGCCCGGUGGGGAGUAUCGUGACGUAAUUGAUAUUGUGACAACUCGACCUUUCGACUUUAAAUGCACGUUGACUUUGACCAUUGACUUUGAC